UCGUGCUCAACAAGGGCAUGCCCUCAAGGAGGAAGAGAAAGGAGAGGACUCCCUAAGAUGAGGACCAAUGGCAAAUAGCUCAUCACAGCUCUUUCCUCCAUUCAUAACUGAGUGUCCACUGCAAUGGGAUUCACCCUAAUUUAAAACGCAUUUGUGAGGAUAUGGUGUAACCGAGGGAAGUUACACCUGCAUAGGUCUACAGAGAGCUCUGCCAGAGAUCCCAUACAGCACCUGAGAUGGGUGUGACCUGCCAAGAUAUCAAUCAACCUGCUGACCGUAAGACUCCGCCCUUGAAACCUUAUCCCUGCCUUUGAUGUACCCUCUUAAAUAAACCACCAGAGCCAUUUUGUCUUUUGUCUAGUUAGAGAACCUAUGUGGACUAGAUCUAUCAGGGGCUUCACUUUCUGUAAAUAUAUUUUUGAGUAUUUGUGCUUUGUUAUUUACUAAUCAUCUGAAAUUGUAAGUCUUAGGGUGACUUGGAUUAUUCUGGGCAGGAAGAAAGACCCCUUAAUGAGAUGCUGGCCGCUGUCAUCCCCCAUCCCCCAUAUGGGUGUAUUUUAACACACUCAGUACUGAGAGGUAAUAGCAAGGUGGUAAGAACAUGAACUCUGGGACAAGGCAGCCUGACUUGAAGUUCUGGCUUUGCCACUUACUAGCUGUCUGACUUAGAGCAGAUGAUUUAACCACUCUGGGCAAUGAUUCCCUCACCUAUAAAAAAGAUGAUGAUGAUGAUGAUGAUGAUGAUAGUUCCUAGGAGUUAUAAUAGUCCUAAUAGUUUCUGAAACACAAAGAUGACGAUAAUUUCUAUGGUCUGAAAGUUGUGACUCCCCGAAAUUCAUGUUAAAAAUCUAAUCUCCAAUGCAAAAGUACUAAAAUAUUGUCAGGGACUAGAAGGAAAUUCUCCUUCAAAGAUUAGCCUGACA